AUCAUCCCACUUUAGGGGUUUUCUAAAUGAAUUCUUUGGUAGCCACUCUCUCUUCUACUCCUUCUCCUCAUUCUCUUCCUUCUUCACCAUUCUGAAUAUUUUCUAUUCCUCUGUGUGUCUUCCCAUUUUGUUUCUUUAUAAACACUGUGUUCUCACCAACAUGUUACGAAAAAAACUUUUUUGUGUGUAGUCUGGACCGUGACUCAUUUGGGCUUUUUGCGGUUGUGAUUGUCAAAGGGGUGGAAUGGGUUCCACGACCCUUAUUGCCGUUGUUCCAAAAGGUAGGAGACCUUCUUCUUCUGGUUGUGCCGACUCCGUGGGUGUGAGAUUGUGAGGGAGCCUUUCAAUGGGACCGUGAGGGUCACCAAAAAACUUCUGCAACAGGGACACAUGAAAUACUGGAUGUAUUCGCGUGUCCUCCGAUAAGGAGAGUUCAUAUGUCACUGGACCGAUCCUUCGGUACACCUAAAACAGUCCAAAAAACCGGCGACCCAACUUGUGAGAAGAGCGAUUUGAGACGGUGACCUGUCUAUACGGUUGCAGCCAUAUGAGGACCCACUCACCCACUUCAAAGGUAACAUUUGUGCUAUUUGCAUCGACAUGAGCCUUCAUUCUUUGUUGAGCAUAAAGUAGAUUUUUCUAUAAAGUAGCUAACAGUUGCCCCUUUGUUUGCAUUGUAUCCUGUAUUUUCUGUUUGGGUGUUGAACCCGGAAUGAAGUCGCGGAUUGUGGGCGGUGCACAACCAUAUAGAACCUCGAACAAAGACUGGUCUAUUGAGGAGUGGUGAUUGGUGUUAUAUCAAUACUCUGCCAAGAAUAGAUGUGCAAACCACUUCUUUGGAUGAGUACCCGUGAAACACCGGAGAUAUGUCUACAAGCAGCGGUUAACGACCUUCGUUUGUCCAUUGGACUGUGGAUGGUAAGCUGUACUAAAACAUAGUUUAGUGCCAAGUAGUUUGAAAAAUUAUUUCCAAAAUGUACUAAUGAAAAUUUUGUCUCUGUCGGACACGAUUGACUUAGGUACACCAUGAAGACGACAAAUCUCAUUCAAGAAUCGGAGAGCCAGUGUCUCAGUCGUGAAUUUGGUAGGUAAAGCAAUAAAAUGGGCAUAUUUUGUUAGUCGAUCCACAACAACCCAGAUUACUGUGUGUCCAUGAGAGCAAGGUAAAUGUGUUAUAAAAUCCAUCGAUGAGUCCUCACAAACUUGAUAUGGAAUUUUUAACGGUUGUAACAGUCCUUGAUAUUUUUGGCACAUACUUGUUGUAUUGACAGAUGGAGCAGGUGGGAAUGUAAUCCUUGACAUCUUGUGCUAUGUUGGGCCAGUAGAAGGAAGCAGUCAAACGACACAAAGUUGGUUUCCAACCCGAGUGGCCAGCAAGUGGUGUUUCAUGAAAUUCAUGGAUCAAUGAGUGGCAGAAAGUCUCAUGGGCAGGUAUAAAAAUCCGGUUUUUAAAGAAUAAUAGUCCAUGUGAGAAAUGGAAUUGUUCCUGCCAUUUAUGAUAUGUCUUAUGUUUCUGUACGAAUGUUUGGCCUUCUGGUUGAGCAUAAUAGGUAUGCAACUAGUCCAAUAUAUGAGGGAAUGGAGAGGAGAUUGUCGAGAACAGAGGAAGGUUAGAGUUGUCACAUCUAGAUAAAACAUCAGUAACUCGAUUAGAGGUACCACUCCUAUACUUGAUCUCAUAUUGGAACCCAAUGAGCUUAGUUGCCUAUUUUUGUUGUUCUAGGGUGUGAGACGCUUGAGUCAUCGAGUGUUUCAAACUCUGUUGAUCAGAAUAUAUAUUGAACUUUCUCCCAAUUAAGUAUUGACGCCAUUUCUUGACAAAUUCGGUGACCGCAAACAUUUCUUGGACGUAGACUAAUGUAUGCUGCAUUCUGGGGGACAUUUUCCAAAUAAAGAAAUCAAUCGGAUGGCCACAUUGGGAGAGAACCGCUCCAAUGGCAGUUGCAGAAGCAUCUGUUUCAACAUCAAAGGUCGACUUGAAAUCACGCAGAUUCAACGCCGAAGUAGUAGUCAUAACCAUUUUUAAUUAUGUAAAUGCCAAUUCUGUUGUACUAGACCAUGUAAAAUUGUUAUGCUUUAGUAAAUCGGUGAGUGGAGCAGCGAGAAAGGCAUAUUUUCUAACAAACUUUCUACAAAAGUCGGUGAGCCCCAAAAACCCUUUGAGUGUCGUGAGUGAAUGAGGUUGUGGUCAAUUUACCACUGCCUGGAUCUUUUCUGGAUCUGGUUGAACACCACUAUUAGCAA
rnacentral:lncRNA from 1 species